AAAAUAUCGUCCGCAUCCCGCCGAUUGAACCCGCACGUCGUGUUGUAAGUGGUCGUCGACUUCUUCCCCUCAUUACCGGGCCCACCAAACUCAAAAGACUUAAGCCCCUCUUCCCCAUAUAGAUCAUAGAUCUGACGCUUCUGCGAGUCGCUGAGAACAUCAUACGCUUCAGAAAUUUGCUUGAACUUAGCUUCGGCAUCUUUCUUGUUAACGGGAUUCUUAUCGGGAUGCCACUUCAUCGCCAGCCUCUUGUAGGCCCUUUUGAGAUCAUCGUCCGUGGCGCUCCGGUUAACUUUCAGUACGUUAUAGUAAUCAACCCCCAUUUGCGUUGAAAGAGAAAGAUUGGUGAAUUGGCUGGAAAUUUGGGAAAAAUGAGAGUUGGGUUUUGUAAUUAAGAAUUGGCGAAAUGCCGGGUUAGAGAAAAUUCUAGAAAUUUUUGGACGGUGAAAGGAGACGGAGGAGGACAGAGAUAACGGCGCGUCGGCCGGUUGACGGUUGUGAAGCCAGCGAAGCAAAAAUUCGAGAGCAGCAGUGGUCACGCUUUCUGAACUCUGAUAACGCGUUCAUGAAGUGGAGAUGAUAUUUUUAAACGGG
rnacentral:misc_RNA from 1 species